UACAGAGGGUGCAAGCGUUGUUCGGAAUUAUUGGGCGUAAAGGGUGUAGAGGCGGUCUAAUUAGUCAGAUGUGAAAUCCCACGGCUUAACCGUGGAAUGGCAUUUGAAACGGCUAGACUUGAGGAUGGUAGAAGAAAGCGGAAUUCCCAGUGUAGAGGUAAAAUUCGUAGAUAUUGGGAGGAACACCAGAAGCGAAAGCGGCUUUCUAGGCCAUUUCUGACGCUCAAGCACGAGAGCGUGGGGAGCAAACAGG
rnacentral:rRNA from 1 species